GUUCAUGUAUUCUCAUUGUUCAACUCCCACUUAUGAGUGAGAACAUUCAGUGUUUGGUUUUCUGUUCUUGUGUCAGUUGCUGAGAAUGAUGGUUUCCAGCUGCACUCAUGUCUCUGCAAAGAACAUGAACUCAUUCUUUUUUAUGGCUGCAUAGUAUUCCAUGGUGUACAUAUGCCACAGUUUCUUGAUCCAGUCUAUCAUUGAUGGAUAUUUGGAUUGAUUACAAGUCUUUGCUCUUGUGAACCCUGCCACAGUAAACAUACAUGUGCGUGUGUCUUUAUAAUAGAAUGACUUAUAAUCCUUUGGAUAUAUACCCAGGAAUGGGAUUGCUGGAUCAAAUGGCAUUUCUAUUUCUAGAUCCUUGAGAAAUCACCACACUGUCUUCCACAAUGGUUGAACUAAUUUACACUCCCACCAACAGGGUAAAAGUGUUUCUGUUUCUCCACAUCAUCUCCAGCAGCUGUUGUCUCCUGAUUUUUUAAUGAUCACCAUUCUAAUUGGCAUGAGAUGGUAUCUCAAUGUGGUUUUGAUUUGCAUUUCUCUAAUGACCAGUGAUGAUGAGCUUUUUUUCUUAUGUUUGUUGGCUUCAUGUCUCCUUUUGAAAAGUGUCUGUUCAUAUCCUUUGCCCACUUUUUGAUGAACUUGCUUGUUUUUCUCUUGUAAACUUAUUUAAGUUCUUUGUAAAUUCUUGGUAUUAGCCCUUUAUCAGAUGGGUAGAUCACAAAAAUUUUUUCCUGUUCUGUUGGUUGCCAGUUCACACUAAUGAUGGUUUCUUUUGCUGUGCAGAAGCUCUUAAGUUUAAUUAGACCCCAUUUGUCUAUUUUGGUUUUUGUUGCCAUUGCUUUUGGUGUUUUAGUCAUGAAGUCCUUGCCUAUGCUUAUGUCUUGAAUGGUAGUGCCUAGGUUUUCUUCUAGGGUUUUUAUGGUGUUAGGUCUUAUGUUUAAUCCAUCUGAAGUUAAUUUUUUUAAAUUGUAUUUUAGAUUUUGUGUUACAUGUGAAGAACAUGCAAGAUUGUUGCACAGGUACACAUAUGGCAGUGUAAUUUGCUGCCUUCCUCCCCAUCACCUAUAUCUGGCAUUUCUCCCCAUGCUAUCUCUCCCCAACACCCCAACUCCUGCUGUCCCUCCCCUAUUUCCCCCCCAACAGACCCCCUGGAGUUAAUUUUUAUCUAAGGUGUAAGGAAGCGAUCCAGUUUCAGCUUUCUGUAUAGCUAGCCAGUUUUCCCAAUGCCAUUUAUUUAAUAGGGAAUCCUUUCCUCAUUGCUUGUUUUUGUCAGGUUUGUCAAAGAUCAGAUGGUUAUAGAUGUGUGGCAUUAUUUCUGAGGUCUCCAUUGUGUUUUAUUAGUCUAUAUCUCUGUUUUGGUACCAGUAACAUACUGUUUUGAUUACUGUAGCCUUGUAGUAUAGUUUGAAGUCGGGUGGCAAGAUGCCUCUAACUUUGUUUAUUUUGCUUAGGAUUGUCUUGGCUAUAUGGGCUCUUUUGUGGUUCCAUAUGAAGUUUAAGGUGUUUUUUUCCUAUUCUUUGAAGAGAGUCAGUGGUAGCUUGAUGGGGAUAGCUUUGAAUCUAUAAAUUAUUUUGGGUGGUAUGGCCAUUUUCACGAUAUUGAUUAUUCCUAACCAUGAGCAUGGAAUGUUUCUCCAUCUGUUUGUGCCCUCUGUUAUUUCCUUGAGCAGUGGUUUGUAGUUCUCCUUGAAGAGGUCCUUCACAUCCCUUGUGAGUUGUAUUCCUAGGUAUUUUAUUCUCUUUGUAGCAAUUGUGAAUGGGAGUUUGCUCAUGAUUUGGUUCUCUGUUAGUCUGUUAUUUGUGUAUGGGAAUGCUUGUGAUUUUUGCACACUGAUUUUGUAUCUUGAGACUUUGCUGAAGUUGCUUAUCAGCUUAAGGAGAUUUUGAACUGAGAUGAUGGGGUCAGCUAAAUAUAUAAUCAUGUCAUCUGCAAAUAGAGACAAUUUGACUUCCUGUUUUCCUUAUUGAAUACCCUUUAUUUCUUUUUCUUGCCUGAUUGCCCUGGCCAGAACUUCCAGUACUAUGUUGAAUAGGAGUGGUGAGAGAGGGCAUCCUUGUCUUGUGCCCAUUUACAAAGGGAAUGUUUCCAGUUUUUGCCCAUUCAGUAUGAUAUCAACUGUGUGUUUGUCAUAAAUAACUCUUACUAUUUUGAGAUACAGUCCAUCAGUACCUACUUUAUUGAGAGUUUUUAGAAUGAAAGGCUGUUGAAUUUUGUCAAAAGCCUUCUCUGCAUCUAUUGAGAUAAUCAUGUGGGUUUUGUCUUUGGUUCUGUUUAUGUGAUGGAUUACGUUUAUAGAUUUGCAUAUGUUGAACCAGCCUUGCGUCCCAGGGAUGAAGCCAACUUGGUCGUGAUAGAUGAGCUUUUCAAUGUGCUGUUGGAUUCAGUUUGCUAAUAUUUUACUGAAGAUUUUUCCAUUGGUGUUCAUCAUAGAUAUCGGCCUGAAAUUUUCUUAUUUAGUUGUGUCUGUGCCAGGUUUUGGUAUCAGGAUGAUGUUGUUCUCAUAAGAUGAGUUAGGGAGGAGUCCCUCUUUUUCUAUUGUUCGGAAUAGCUUCAGAAGGAAUGGUACCAGCUCCUCUUUGUACCUCUGGUGGAAUUCGGCUGUGAACCCAUCUGGUCCUGGACUUUUUUUGGUUGGUAGGCUGUUAAUUGCUGCCUCGAUUUUGUUAUCUGUCUCUUCAGGGAUUCAACUUCUUCCUGGUUUAGUCUUGGGAGGGUGUAAGCAUCCAGGAAUUUAUCUACUUCUUAUAGUUUCACUGGUUUAUGUGCAUAGAGGUUUGUAGUCAUCUGACAGUAGUUUGUAUUUUUUGAGAUUGGUGGUGAGAUCUCUUAUCGUUUUUUUAUUGCAUCUAUUUGAUUCUUCUUUCUUUUCUUUUUUAUUAGUCUGGAUAGCAGUCUACAAGAAGAGCUAACAUUUCAAAUGGCAAAAUAAAGAUUCAGACAUUUGUAUUAACCUACACAUGUACCCCUGAACCUAAAAUAGAAGUUGGAAAAGGAAUUCAUACCUCUUGCUAGGUGGAAAUCAGUUCUUCAUAAGAAUAUGUGAAAAGUCCAUCAGUUAGUUCAAAAUUAGUAGGCAGGUCAUGAAGUUUUAACUUUGCAGCAAAAUGUCAAAAAUGAGUUUGGGUUUUAGUGAACUACAGGCUUAAGAGUAGCCAGUUGGUGCUUCAAAAGUUAAAACCAAGAGAGCUGAGAGCUGUGCUGAGGUUUAGAAUGGUGAAUGAGACUUCCUGCAUCUGAGGUGUUUGCGUCCUGUCUCCUGGCCUAUGUUAGGGCCUGUGUGCUGCUAGGGCAUUCCUGAUCUGGAGUCCAACAUGGUGAGAUGAGGGGAGAGGAGGUAGAAGGGUUCCCAGGGUGGUCAAAGUGAAUCUUGACAGAUGUGGAGGAAAUUGGUAAUACCUGACCUCCAAGGGAGAGUUGGGGUCACUGGACAUGCACAGUCUGGAGAAGAAAAGACAUCAUGGUGACUCAACCGAGUGCCAAAAAUUAAACACUGUCAUUCAGGAGAGGAAAUAACGUUUAUUUUUCAGUGUUCUGGGGCACCUAGAAGGCAAAGUGAUGAGAAUAUUUAUAUUAUUUCAGGAAAAGAAAGUUUUCCAACGUAAGCAUGAGCCAGCACUGGGACUGCUCAUCUCACAGUGAGUCUUUGGACAUCUGAAGUGAGCAAAUGAGACCCAAAUGCCCGGAUCUUUCAGGCAUAAUAUGUGGAGGAGAGUCUUGUAUGACAUGGGAGCUUGGCUCUGAUGACCUCCCAAGUCCCUAGCUUCUUUAUGAUUCUUUAGGUUAUCUGGACAUUUCAGGGGGCAUGUUUUGUUCUCGUGUUCAACAACACAUAAAAGCAUGUGAGGUCAAUAAGUAUUGCAUCUGGGAAAAGAGAAACAGAAUUGUGAACUAUUCAAGGCCAAAACGUACUUAACAAAUGGAGUUUUUAACUUGAGGUUCCUGUUUUUAGUCCUGUGUACAAUGAAGAUUUCUGCUGGUGAUUACUUUCAGUUGCAACAUUAUAAUUCACAGAAUUGAGUAGGAAUUCCAAAAUAUAGAAAAAGAAAGAAAACCCAAAACUGUUAGAAUCCACAUGAAUUUUAAUGAUUUAUUAGCAUAUGCACAAAGCGUGAAUGUUAAAUAUGGCAAAUUGAUUGAUCCGAGGCAAACUUCCAAGGGGGAAAACGCUGCAUCCUCUGUCUCUUUCAGUUAACAUCUGCCAUGUAGUGGAGGUUCCAGAGAAAAAGUGAGAGGAGCUGAGUUUGCACCCUUGACGUGGAGAAAAUCAGCUCCUUUCGGACCAGAACGGAGGGCAGAGGAAGGGCUGCAACGUGAUGGGCAGCGAGGGGUUUGGCCCUAAGAAAGAGGAGAAGGGAUUCACCCUGGCUCCCGUUCCAUCGGUGAGGACCAGUCAUACGGCUCUGCCCUAACACAAAGUUGGGUAGCUGCUUUCCAGAAACAGUUCAACACCGUGGAAGGAGAGCACAUGUUUGCCAUGCAGCACCUGUUAACUGCUGUUCGACUGUCUACUGCCAUGAGAUCGACUUUUUCAGAUUCCGUAUACGAGUGAGAUAGCAAGCUAUUUGUCUGUCUGUGUUAAGGACGCUUACCAUCCAUAUUGCGGCAAAUAGCAGGAUUUCAUUCUCAUGACUGAAUAGUACUUCACUGUGUAUACGGACCACGUUUUCUUUGUAUCUUCAUUUGCCGACGGACAGACAUUUAAUAAAUGUGCAAAUAGAGGCAAAAAUGGCUUCAUCUGCAGUGGAAGAAGAAAGUUAACAGGUCCUCUAAGGGACAGAAUUUGUUUCCAUGUCCACAGACGAGAACAAUGUUUUGCACUUCUGUCAGUUACAUGUAAGAGAUGAAGCUGUAAAACAGUCCCCAUUGAAUCAGAAUCAGAGAACCUGGAGGAGUAUCUCUAAGCAAUGCACCAUUUUCCAGCCAAGCACAAUUUUUUCUCUAAAACUAAACUCUUAGAAGAAGUAGGCUCGACUUUCUGUUGUUCCCGUCUGUGGAAGGAUAAAAAGGGUCACGAGUUAUUUGCAGCUGCUCACAUCAAGAGACGGAGUCCAUUGGCCAGGAGCGCGGGCUCACUCCUGUAAUCCCAGCACUUUGGGAGGCUGAGGCAGGGGGAUCACGAGGUCAGGAGUUUGAGGCCAGCCUUGUCAACGCGGUGAAACCCUGUCUCUACUAAAAAUAAAAAAAAUUAGCUGGAUGUGGUGGCAGACACCUGUAAUCCCAGCUAUUUGGGAGGCUGAGGCAGGAGAAUUGCUUGAAUCCAGGAAGUGGAGGCUGCAGUGAGUUGUGCCACUGUGCUACAGCCAGGCAACAGUGUGAGACUCCAUCUCAAAAAAAAAAAAAAAAAGAUGGAGUCCGUUUUCUUACUCCUUGAAUCUAGACUGGCUUUUUGAGUUGUUUUGAUUAAUAAAAUGUGGUAGAAGUGGCCUUGUGCAACUUCUGAAGGUGGACCCCCAGGAGGCCCUGCAGCUUCCACUCCUGCUGUCUUAGAAACCUGCUGCCCUGUGAAUGAGCCUGAGCUACCCGCUAGAAGGACCAAGUAACGGAGGACCAGAGUGCUCCAGCCAACACUCUGCCAACCACCAGAUAUGUCAGUAAGGCCGUCUUACAGCAUCCAGUCCUGUCCAAGCUGUCAACUGACCAUGGCCAGUGAGAGUCCAUGUGAGAGCAGCAGAAGGGAUGUCCAGCUGGACCUAAGUGAAGUUACCAACCCACGAAAUCGUGAAUACAUGAAUCACUUUUAAGCCAACAGGGUCUUGCUCUGUUGCCUGAGCUGGAGUACAUUGGUGUGAUGACAGCUCCCUGCAGCCUCACACUCCUGGGCUCACUCGAGCCUCCCACCUCAGCCUCCUGACUAGCUGGGACUAUAGGGUAGUUCCUCUGCACAUGCUGUCUUGAUGCCACCACGUAAGAUGGGCCUUGGCUCCUCCUUCGCCUUCUGCCAUGACUGUGAGGCCUCUCCAGCCAUAUGGAACCGUGAGUUGAUUAAACCUCUUUUUCUUUAUAAAUUACCGAGUGUUGGAUAUUUCCUCAUAGCAGUAUGAAAAUGGACUAAUACAUAUAUGCAUACGUAAAGCCAUUUCAAGAGACUUUGCUUCCUGAAGUUUGUAAAUGUAAAUAAAUUUAUUGUACCAUCAUUUAGGUUACCACAUUCCUCACUAACGCAGAAACAAUAUCUAAAAUGGGUACUUAUGUGGUUAUUAAAAAUAUAGCAUGAAUAUGGCUUUUGGGAAAGUCAAUGACAGAUAUAUUUUGAGGCCACAAUUCUACAUCUCUUGCGAUUCUGUUGUACACAUUUGGUAUUGAACAAAAGCCAAAACUUUGGACUCCUUUGAUUAAAGCCAAGGUCAAGUAAUCCUGCUGGUUCUCUCUUCCCAUUUCUUGAGGGAAGGAUGUAGUCAUAUAAGAUGCUAUUUAGUAAAAUGGUGCCUGUGAGUUCGACGUGCAAUGUCUGGCAAGUGUUUUUCAAGGUCUUACAUACACACUAUAUUUCCCUUCCUCCUUUCCCCUCUUCAGCCUCAAUCCCCAUCACCCAGUGUUUCAUAAGGUUUGACUUUCUGUAGCUUAUACUGUAAAACCCCAAGUAUAACCUUGUCUAAUAAUAUUAAUUGCCCUUUCCCUAACUCGACAUGCCUCCCUGGAGAUUGUGAUGGGUGAUUCUUUCUCCUCCAUCUUCCUUAAGCAUUUUUGGUCUAGUGGAAUAUUCGGUGGCAAAGCUCUCAUUCUGGAAAACGUUUAGCCGUGCAAGCAGAGAAGAAAUAAGCCAACAGUGGUAAACAGAGUUAAUGCAUAUAGUUAAAUCUUCUAAACAUGUCUCCUGAAUGAUGCCACAUUUUCCUUUUUCAAACUGGGAAUCAACAAAAUGGAGGAACAGUUGAGGUUUGUUAAGAAAUUUCCCUUCUUAUCCAUAGAACUAAGAUUUUUUUUUUUUUUAAAUAAAGAAGGUCAUAGUGGGCCACAAAUGAUGUGCAUUUCUAGGAUCCCAAAGUGUUUUAUUGAUGGAGUUAUAUGUAGGGAUUUAAUGGAACUGUGGUUGAAAGAUGCUUUGAAAGUCUUUGAUCACUGGGAUAUCACUGGAACAAAUGAGCUAAAAGAUUUUCAGAGUUUCUUCAUUUACCCAGGUAACAGGGUGAGGGUAAUGGUGGAGAGAAGGGGAGGUCCAGGGCAUUAAUGACUAGUACUCCAUGUGAAAAGAAGAAUUGACUGGUAACAUCUGCACUGUUUUCAUUAGCAGGCUGCCAUAUACUGUUGUGCAGCUUUUGCAUUGCACAGUUCUUGGGAAGUUGGGCGUUCAUAUUUGUGGCCGUUAUCAGUUUCUGUAUUUAUAAUGGCAAUUUCCCAGCAAUUUUCUAGGUAUGUUGUCCUGAGAAACUGUUAGAUUCCUCUAAUUUUUGCAAAGAUACCUUUGGGAAGUUGAAGGACUGCCCGAUUACUAUUAGACAAUCCUGCUACUGAUACAUACUUGUCUUGUGUAAUUUGGACAAAAUAUAAUAUUCCUGAAUCUUAGAUUCCUUGUUUGUAAAAUGGUUAAAACAUAUCUAAAUGUAAGAAUUGUUGUAGCAUGUGAGUUUAUGUGAGUAUAUGAAUGUGGCCGUCACAGCAGCUGUAAAUAGACGAUUAUUAUUAUAAAUAUUGUUAAAGCAUCGUGAUGUUUUAUUUUAAGCUGAUAUUCUUUCUUUAUGCUGACUUUACACAGAAUUUUAAAAAAUAUACUUGAGUUUAGUAUUUGCAUACAACUACUGAUGGAAAUCUGAUGAAAAACACUAAUAGUACUUUAUAAAAGAUAUUUUCAAUAUGAACUUUUUGUUUCCAUUGUGAGAAAUUGAAUUUCAAAACGUAAUUAUUAAAUAUAUGCCUGAAUUUCAAAUAUGUUUUUGUCUAUCCAGCUAAUUCAAAAUGUUAUUAUGUAAUAAUAGUUAAAUGUCAUGUUUACUUUAUUAGAAGGAAUACCUUCAAAUUAUUAUUAUGAUUACCAUUUAUUUAGCAUCUUCAGCAUGCAGGGCAUUUAUAAAAUCUGUAGAAAUGAAUUUUCUCUAAAUGCAGCAAGUUGUAUGACCGACACGCACUGUCUAUAAAAGAUGACUUGGUUGGCAGAAAAGGAAAGAGUUUCUUCAGACAUUCCAGCCCCAGUCAGCCCUGGUGACAUCUGCAUAUCAGGUAACUCCCCAAUCCCUGGUCACAUUUGAUGGGUCCAGGAUGGAAUGUGACCCAAGCUGAGACAAUCAGACUUAGUCUCUUGAUAAUUUAAACUCAGAGCUCCAGUGACUGAACUAGGCAAUAACAGACAUUCUAUGUGUAAGUUAGAGAGAGUCGGAGACAGGAAACUCAACUCACUAGAAAGCUGCUGUUAUAGUAACUGGGUGUCCUAGGUUCUUGGCCUCCCCUGCCCCAGGAAUGGGGAAAGAGGUCCUGGAGGUGCAGUGGGCUUACCGUUCAUAUAAAUAUCAUGGACCCAUAGAGUUUGGCAGAGAGUGAUUUAUUAGUCAGAGAGAGAGAGAGAGAGAGAGAGAGAGAGAGAGAGAGAGAGAGAGAGACAGUAGAGAGAGAGAGAGAAAGAAAGAAAGGAAAGAGAGAGAGAAAGUAGAGAGAGAGAGAAAGAAAGUAGAGAGAGAGAGAAAGAGAGAAAGAAAGGAGAGGGAGAGAGAGAAAGAAAGAAAGUAGAACGUGGAGUUUUGAUUUGAAGUUAUUCCCGCCCCAUUCAUGUUCUUGUCCAAUGGGAGGAGUUCUUUCAAACGUCCUCUGGAGUGAUUGAUCUUUGCCUUUGGUCCCAGAUUGGUUGUUUGGGCCCACAACAGAGCCUCUCCUUCCAGGGCUUUUGGCAGGCUUUUGUGAACAAAGGAAGCUCACCCGGAAUUUUACCCAGCCUGCGUGGGAAGGCCAGACAAAGAGCUCUAGGUUCCCAGAGGGGAGGGGAAUGGAGGCGUGGUGCUGGGAAGCUCUUGCCUUGGAAACCACGCCCCCGUGGACCUGGGAGGAGAAGGGAACAUAGUUCCUCAUUUUGGAGAAACAAAAAUAACUGCUUUGCAGAAGAUGGUCUGGAAAAGUAGAGAAGUUGCCCAAGAGAGGGACAAAACUGCUUUAAGAGUUUUUCUUUUUUUUUGGGGGGGGGGGGAGCUAAAUAUACUUUCUAUAUUUGGUAACUCUAAGAUAACCUUGUAUCUCUCUUCUAAAUUCCCCCUUCCACUUGAACUUGAAUGGUGGAUUCCUCUUACUUUCAACUGAAAAACACUUAAGAUAUUUGUCUUAAGGAAGAUUUAAUAUAGUUAUUUUGUGAACAACAAAAGCCUUUUGUUGAGCUACUGUCCUUCCAGUGAGACACACACACACACCCCGUUCUAGAUCAGUUGGAAGAGGAUCAUGGAGGCAGUCACCACUUUCUUUCCUCUUUCUUGAAUAUAAAUAUGAAUGUAACUGAUUACAUCGUCUAGGAGAUGAAAACUCAGGAAAUGUCUUUCCAGUGGCUUCUGGUUCUUCCCAACGUGAAAUUUGGAAGACGGUUAGGAAUAAUUUCCAGCCAUUUUAGAUGCAUGUAGUUUCCGCUGGAUAAGGAACUAGAAAAUAGGGCAAUGGUGCUGUUUUCCCUGAGGUACCUACAAUACGUCUUGUGAUGCAGUCUUCAUAAGGCACGUGACAAAUUUCAUAAUUUUGCUGAGUAGAAAAAUUAGAACAAUGAAUGUCUUUUACAUCCAUAACAGCUGAAAAUUUAGAUUUGAUAAUUAUCUUCUGGAUUCCAUUAUAUUCUGUGGGAUUUUUUUAUUGUUUUUUUCCUUUAUUAACUAAUGAAGCAAUUGGCCAAAUCUGGUAGUACAACACUAUAUGGAACCUACCUUGCUAUCCUUGUGGGAAAUUUCUUAAGGUUAAAAUUUGAUUGUGGGAAUAGUCAAAUUCGGAGGACUCUUUUAAUAAUAAAAUUGUAGACAAUGGAAGAAGGCUGAAGCCUGCCGAUAAAAUAGAACUUGGCACUUCUUGGAAUUCACAUAAAAAAGCACUAGCUGCUAUGAUACAUAGUGUAAGACGGUGCUUUCAUUAGGUAGUAUCUCUGACCAAAACCAUACACUAUAAAGGCCAUAUAAUGGGUGAUCAUUUGCUUAUCCUGUGUCUGUUGAUACUCAUUUUUGCCCUGUAAAAUGAAUUAUGAAUUGUGCAUGUGGUGGUCAUUUACCCUAUCGCUAAAUGCAGCUAAUUCUGGGUAAAAGAGAACAGCUGUUUGACAUUCGCCCCCAAACUUACUGAGGCAGAAAGGAGGACUUGCGUUAUCCAACUGAAGUAGCCGGGUAGUCUGUUCUUGCCGUUUGGGUUAAAAUACGCUGUGCCUUUAUCUCCACAAAACAGCCUCAUUGUGUUGAGGUUGUUUGCCAGUUUCGUUCUAGCAAGCCUCAUGGUAAUGGAAUAUUAUUAUUAUAUAUAUUUUUUGAGACAGAGUUUCGUUCUUGUUACCCAGGCUGGAGUGCAAUGGCGUGAUCUCGGCUCACCGCAACCUCCGCCUCCUGGGUUCAGGCAAUUCUCCUGCCUCAGCCUCCUGAGUAGCUGGGAUUACAGGCACACACCAUCAUGCCCAGCUAAUGUUUUGUAUUUUUAGUAGAGACAGGGUUUCACCAUGUUGACCAGGAUGGUCUCGAUCUCUCGACCUUGUGAUCCACCCGCCUCGGCCUCCUAAUGUGCUGGGAUUACAGGCGUGAGCCACCACCCCCAGCCGGGAUGUUAUUUUUAAUGGGACUUUCAGGACAACAAUCAAAUUUUGUAAAUUAUAUUUUAAUACUUUUGAUUUCUUUGCCUUCGUGAGAAGAGAGAGAAUAUGAUGAAAUUUGGGGAAAAAGUGAAAUUUUUCCAUUACAAAGACUAUUAUGAAUAAAUACAUAGAAUGUUUUGAGGAAGUAAAAACUGAUUUAACAAUGUUAUAACACAAGAAAUUGUUGAAGACAGAAACAAGCAUGGAACAAUUAAGUGGAGAGGGAUUCUGUGUGCUUCAUGAAAACAACAAUGAAAACGUAAUUUGAUUUAUAAACCAAAAUGAAUGCUUUAUAGCCGUGACCACAUAACACCAUUGGAUUCCCUAAAACUAUUUCAGCAUCCCAGUCUUGUUAAUUCACAUUGCAUACUAUUACUAACUUAACUAUGCCGGGGUAACAUAUUGAAAUUAUAGAGGGAUUAUUGACAAAAGGCAAUAUUAUGUUUUCCAAACGCAGAAUAAUUCACAUUCCUAUAGCAGGGCCCCUAAUCACUAGGAGUUCUGACAGCCCUUCAGUAAAGGCAAAGAAAUGAUCAACCACAGUGAGAAUCCUGUUUGUAUGCAAACAACGCUUCUGAAAGUGCUUGAUCUCAGUUUGUCUAUCUAAGAAGUUUAAUCAACACCCUAAAUUUCUGCAGUCUAGUUCGAAACUGUAAUUUGUAUAAUCAAACAUUCUAUGGAGUACAAAGUUAAGCAUACAUUAAUACCAUGUAAAGUUCUAAUGAGUGGACGUAGAUUAUUGAGGCUUUGCAUCCGUUCAGUAAUCCACGUCAACAGGCAGAACAAAUAAUCGUUACGGAGAACGAAAAAGAUAACUUGUUGCUUUGUUCAAGGUCAUUUAGUAGAUUGGUAAUUAAGGUCAUUCUUUAUUUCUGCUUCCGGUUCUCCAAGAGUGCUGUUCUGACCCAUCAUCGCCAUAAAGCCACCCUGUAGUUGACCUCACCCUACAGUUGAGCAAUCCUUUUACUCUCCAUAAACAUAGAAUGCUGAUUGUGAUAUACUACAAGAUAUAAUAGAAGGUCGAUUUUAUUUCAGUUUUCCUCACUUCACAAGUAUACUUAAGUACUGUAGAGGCAUAUUCCUCCUGAUAAUCACUAGGAGUAGAGGCUAUAGCAAAUUAAAAUAAUGAAGCAUUUAGAUGUUAAAAGUUGGGGGUAUUGAUAAAAGGAAGAGAAUAUACUCUGAUUUUUAAAAAGAGAAAAAAAUCAAAGAAAAAAGGAAAGCAAAAAAGAGAGAAAGCAAGCAAGUAAUCAAGCACAAAGUCAUGACAGAGUGAAAAUAAAUAUAUUUUGCUGGUUAAAAAUUAACAGGUAUCAUAAAACCAAUGACAGUUUCCUUUGAUAAUGUAUCAACUCAAACCCAAUAAAAGUAGUUGAACAGGUCAUGCUUCUGCUUUUCAUCCCCCUUUUAGGUAAUGCCAUUCUUUCAUUGUGAUGGUCUUACUUGUAGUUGAAAAAAAUUUAUAGCUAAAUAAGCUAAUGAAUGUUAACCAUUUUGUCGUGUGAAGGCUGAGGAUUGUAAAUAAACAUCAAAAGGAGUGAUUGUUCUUUAGAUGACGUCUGUUUAUAAUAGGAGGCGUGAGUUAAGCAAUGCAUCUCAAAUAAAAGAUGUUUUACUGCCAUCAUUGCUCGUUACCUGAGCUACCCACAUGACCAGAGUAAAGUUAGAUAAGUGGAGACAAAUAGUCCACACUGGGCCUGCACGGUGGCUCAUGCCUGUAAUCCCAGCACUUUGGGAGGUUGAGGUGGGAGGAUCACCUGAGGUCAGGAGUUCAAGAUCAGCCUGACCAACGUAGUGAAACCCCAUCUCUACUAAAACUAUAAAAAUUAGCCAAUUGUGAUGGUGGGGGCCUGUAAUCCCAGCUACUCUGAAGGCUGAGGCAGGAGAAUUGCUUGAAUCUGGGAGGUGGGGGUUGCAGUGAGCCAAGAUUGUGCUACUGCACUCCAGCCUGGGCAACAGAGGGAGACUCCAUCUCGGAAAAAAAAAAAAAAAAAAAGAGAAAGAGAAAAGAGAGAAAUACUCUACACUGGGUCUUAGAAGAUAAUAAAUUCUGAGCUACUAUUUCAAAUUAAAAAAAAAUUGUUAAUCUGUUUCGGAAGACAUUGAUCCAUGUUUGACUGCAGCCAAAAAUGCCAGCAUAAUACCAGGUAUAACCAGGAUUUAGAAUAAAACUAAACACACACACACACACACACUUUUUUUUUUUUUUUUUUGAGACGGAGUUUCGCUGCUACCCAGGCUGGAGUGCAAUGGUGCAAUCUCGGCUCACUGCAACCUCCGCCUCCUGGGUUCAGGCAAUUCUCCUGCCUCAGCCUCCCAAGUAGCUGGGAUUACAGGCACACGCCACCAUACCCAGCUAAUUUUUAAAAUAUUUUUAGUAGAGACAGUGUUUCACCUUGUUGACCAGGAUGGUCUCGAUCUCUUGACCUCGUGAUCCACCCGCCUCGGCCUCCCAACACACACACUCUUGUAAUGAGGGUAUUAUACAGAAAAUUCUUAUGGUCGCUUCUAACUUGACUAUUGGACAUUGCUAAAAUUUUAAAGAAUAUAUUUACUUAUUUUUUACUGUUAAUCUUGCCAGAUAAUUGGCAAGAUAUUUUUAAUUUAAAUAUGUUAUUAAACUGUACAUUUUCAGAAACUUUUGUUAAGGAAAGAAGAUGAGUAUAAAUGUUUAUGUAAGACAGCGAUUCUAAGGUUAACAGGCAAAUCAUGUUUGCUGUAGGAAAGGAGAAUAUUUUAGAGACUAUAUAUCUUUUAAAGAACUAGAAGCAGCCACUGUAUUUAAAGCUAUGUAUUCCCUUCAUUGGUGACGGUCACAUUACUUACAUUUUUCCCUUAAUUCAGUUGCAAACUUACAAAUUCAUAUUGUUCCUUUUUUCAGUAUACUUUAUGUACUAACUUAGUCAUUUAACAACUUUUUUUCUGAUAACAUGAUAGUGAUAUCUUUGUUAUCAGUUACUGGAAUAUAUCAUACAAAUUGAUUUUUCAGGCAGUUGACAGAGCUGCAAGCUAUAAAUAUUUUAACCAUUUGAGGAGUAUUCUUUCUCAAAUCUAGUACAUAGUUCCUACUGCAAAGGAUAUACUGAGAAAAUGUAAAUGUUGUUAUGUGGGCCAAAAAGAUUAUAAGUGGCAGUGGUCUAUUUUGUUGCAAUAUGACUCUUGGAGUUUUAAUUAACCUGCAGUUUUGUGUCCUAUCUACAUAUAUAUAUACAUAUCCACUGAGGGCAGGGAUCCGUACUGUCUGAGUCCCACAUUGGGCUCUCCAGAGAGUGAGUGGGGGGUAACUGUUUGUGAGUUACAUGUUAGGGGCUAAAUUGUGCCUCCCCAAAUUCAUAUUUUGAAUUCUUAACCCCCAGUAUCACAAAAUGUGACUGUGUUUGGAAAUGGGGUCUUUAAUGAGACAAAGUUAACAAGUGGUCAUUAGGGUGGGCUCUAAUCCAGUGUGACCAGUGCCCUCAUCAAAGAGGAAAUUGCACACAGACACAUACAAAAGGAAGAUAUCUGAGGACUCGGGGAGAAGGUGGUGCUCUUUGAUCUCCGUCCUCUAGCCCCCAGAACCAGGAUAACAGAAUCUGUGGUUUAAAUCAAUCACCUAAUCCGUGGUACUUUGUUAUGACACCCCUAGAAAGUACUGAAAAGUGAUAAUCCCGUGUUGCUCUGUGGGAGAACCAAGUUUGCCAACAGAAUGUUAUGCAUUUAUUAUUCUUAUGCUUUUUUUUUGUCUUGUAUCUCUCGGUGGGUCUCAACAGGUCAACUUUGACCUGUCACUUAAAAGUGCUUGAAUACUAGAAUAUUCACCUCAUGAGAAUAAUUUAAACUCUCAAAGCCUUUGUGGUUUUUUUAUUUCUGCAUUUUAAGUUGUCUUUUGAGCUUUUUUUCCUAUGGAAAGAGUCUGAGUAACUGGAGAUAUAGCAGCAGAGUUCUGUUUGAAAGUCUUUUCUGUACUAACCUUAUGACUUUCGUAUCUAUUUCUCUGUCAAAGGAGAUUGGUGGUAACACUUUAUCAGGGAGCUGUGGGAUUCAAGUGAAAUGCUGCAUGUGAAAAAUCACUUUGCAAGCUUAGCAGUGUGGCUCAAACAAACUCUCAUCAUUAUAACUAGAAGUCUGGCCUGCUGACAAAUAUCUGUUGACAAGGAAGGAUUUGUUGUACCAGUUAGUUUAUCGUUAACCAACAAUAAAUUAUUGAGUCAGGACACACAUCAGAUGCAUGUGGUCAUUUCUUUGAAGAUAGAGAAUGGCAAGGGGAAGAUCUAAAUUCAUGUUGUGAAAGGAUUGGCUGUAGUUUCUUUGGAAUUUUUUUUAAAGGCUGGAGAGAUAAAAUUUUGUCUUUUCUCUUUUAAUAAUUUUGAAUUAUACUUUUCCCCUCAUUUAAACUUAUGUUUUAUUUAUUUUUGAUUAUUCAGCGUGACAUAUCUUUUAAAAACAAUUUUAGGAGACUGAGUGCUGCUGUCUGCCCAGACUGGAGUGCAGUGGCAGCAUCACAGGUCACUGAAUCCUUGAAAUCCUGGGCUCAAGAGAUCCUCCCACCUAAGCCGCCUGAGUGGUUGGGAUCACAGCCCUGCACCACCACCACCAGGCCUGUCUAAUUUUUGAUUUUUUUUGAAGAGACUGGCUCCAGCUGUCUUGCCCAAACUGAUCUCAAACUCCUGGGCUCAAGAAAUUCUCCUGCCUCAGUGCCUCCAAGUGCUGGGAUUAUCGUUGUGAGCCACUACUGUUGACCUGAUAUAUAAUUUUUCAAUCCACUUAAAUUUUUUAAGUUUUGUAUUUUUUAAAUUGUGGAUAAAAUUGUAUACAUUUAUCAUGUACAACAUGAUGUUUUGAAGUAUAUAUACAUUGUGGAAUAAUCAAGUGAUAUUCUACAGUCUUUCAUAUGACCACAAAUUUAUAAAAGUUCAUAUGAAAUUUUUAUUAACAACGGUUAGUUUGAUUUUGUUUAAUUUGUCGACAUACAAGUAUUUAGAUAUGACUCAAAUGUGAGUAUAUUGCAUUAAGUGUCUGUUUUCCCUUUUAUCAGUUAUACUUUAUGAAGCAAUUUAAAAAUAAAUAAAUUAGCCUCCAACUAUAUAACCAGUGAUAUCCAGCUUUAAAUGCAAUUAUUUUCAAACGUGCUGGUGUGUGUGAAACCCGACAGCUAUUGGUUACACACUAGCAGCAGCCUCACAGUAAUUAAUGCCAGAUGUGUCUAGCCAUUUCAUUAUUAAUUGGCUAUUUGCAAAAUUCAGUAUGGUGCUUUGAAAAGAGGUACAGUCAUCGAUGGGCAUUUGGGUUGAUUCCAGGUCUUUGCUAUUGUAAACAGUGCUGCAAUGAACAUUCGUGUGCAUGUGUCCUAAUAGAAGAACGAUUUAUAGUCCUUUGGAUAUAUACCCAGUAAUGAGAUUGCUGGGUCAAAUGGAAUUUCUAUUUCUAGGUCCCUGAGGAAUCUUCCACAAUGGUUGAACUAAUUUACACUCCCACCAGCAGUGUAAAAGUGUUCCUAUUUCUCCACAACUUUGUAGGGACAUGGAUGAACCUGGAGAACAUCAUUCUCAGCAAACUGACACAAGAACAGAAAAUCAAACACUGCAUGUUCUCACUCAUAGGCGGGUAUUGAACAAUGAGAACACAUGGACACAGGGAGGACAGCAUCACAC